AUCGCUUCUCGGCCUUUUGGCUAAGAUCAAGUGUAGUAUCAAAUGUUAUUUCCCUUCCCGGUUUGAAUUACUAUUUUUUAAUCAUGGAUAUAUGUGUGCCUUUGUAACAAUUACUUCAGCCCUUACAUUGGCUUUCUCUUGCCAGGUGCACUGAUGCAAAUAAUGAGACAAUCUAA
ensembl:snRNA U2 U2 spliceosomal RNA